rnacentral:rRNA from 1 species
GCUUAACACAUGCAAGUCGAGGGGCAGCAUGGUCUUAGCUUGCUAAGGCCGAUGGCGACCGGCGCACGGGUGAGUAACACGUAUCCAACCUGCCGUCUACUCUUGGACAGCCUUCUGAAAGGAAGAUUAAUACAAGAUGGCAUCAUGAGUCCGCAUGUUCACAUGAUUAAAGGUAUUCCGGUAGACGAUGGGGAUGCGUUCCAUUAGAUAGUAGGCGGGGUAACGGCCCACCUAGUCUUCGAUGGAUAGGGGUUCUGAGAGGAAGGUCCCCCACAUUGGAACUGAGACACGGUCCAAACUCCUACGGGAGGCAGCAGUGAGGAAUAUUGGUCAAUGGGCGAGAGCCUGAACCAGCCAAGUAGCGUGAAGGAUGACUGCCCUAUGGGUUGUAAACUUCUUUUAUAAAGGAAUAAAGUCGGGUAUGGAUACCCGUUUGCAUGUACUUUAUGAAUAAGGAUCGGCUAACUCCGUGCCAGCAGCCGCGGUAAUACGGAGGAUCCGAGCGUUAUCCGGAUUUAUUGGGUUUAAAGGGAGCGUAGAUGGAUGUUUAAGUCAGUUGUGAAAGUUUGCGGCUCAACCGUAAAAUUGCAGUUGAUACUGGAUAUCUUGAGUGCAGUUGAGGCAGGCGGAAUUCGUGGUGUAGCGGUGAAAUGCUUAGAUAUCACGAAGAACUCCGAUUGCGAAGGCAGCCUGCUAAGCUGCAACUGACAUUGAGGCUCGAAAGUGUGGGUAUCAAACAGGAUUGGAUACCCUGGUAGUCCACACGGUAAACGAUGAAUACUCGCUGUUUGCGAUAUACAGCAAGCGGCCAAGCGAAAGCGUUAAGUAUUCCACCUGGGGAGUACGCCGGCAACGGUGAAACUCAAAGGAAUUGACGGGGGCCCGCACAAGCGGAGGAACAUGUGGUUUAAUUCGAUGAUACGCGAGGAACCUUACCCGGGCUUAAAUUGCAGAUGAAUUACGGUGAAAGCCGUAAGCCGCAAGGCAUCUGUGAAGGUGCUGCAUGGUUGUCGUCAGCUCGUGCCGUGAGGUGUCGGCUUAAGUGCCAUAACGAGCGCAACCCUUGUUGUCAGUUACUAACAGGUUCCGCUGAGGACUCUGACAAGACUGCCAUCGUAAGAUGUGAGGAAGGUGGGGAUGACGUCAAAUCAGCACGGCCCUUACGUCCGGGGCUACACACGUGUUACAAUGGGGGGUACAGAGGGCCGCUACCACGCGAGUGGAUGCCAAUCCCCAAAACCUCUCUCAGUUCGGACUGGAGUCUGCAACCCGACUCCACGAAGCUGGAUUCGCUAGUAAUCGCGCAUCAGCCACGGCGCGGUGAAUACGUUCCCGGGCCUUGUACACACCGCCCGUCAAGCCAUGGGAGCCGGGGGUACCUGAAGUGCGUAACCGCGAGGAGCGCCCUAGGGUAAAACUGGUGACUGGGGCUAAGU